UGGAAGGUGGCUGUGGAGAAAGAUAG
rnacentral:piRNA from 1 species